rnacentral:rRNA from 1 species
UGAGGUAAAGGCUCACCAUGGCGACGAUCUCUAGCUGUUCUGAGAGGAAGAUCAGCCACACUGGGACUGAGACACGGCCCAGACUCCUACGGGAGGCAGCAGUGGGGAAUAUUGCACAAUGGGGGAAACCCUGAUGCAGCCAUGCCGCGUGUGUGAAGAAGGCCUUCGGGUUGUAAAGCACUUUCAGUUGUGAGGAAAAGUUGGUAGUUAAUACCUGCCAGCCGUGACGUUAACAACAGAAGAAGCACCGGCUAACUCCGUGCCAGCAGCCGCGGUAAUACGGAGGGUGCGAGCGUUAAUCGGAAUUACUGGGCGUAAAGCGCACGCAGGCGGUUUGUUAAGCUAGAUGU